GAUGAACGCUGGCGGCGUGCCUAAUACAUGCAAGUCGAGCGAACAGGCGAGGAGCUUGCUCCUCUGACGUUAGCGGCGGACGGGUGAGUAACACGUGGAUAACCUACCUAUAAGACUGGGAUAACUUCGGGAAACCGGAGCUAAUACCGGAUAAUAUAUUGAACCGCAUGGUUCAAUAGUGAAAGACGGUUUUGCUGUCACUUAUAGAUGGAUCCGCGCCGCAUUAGCUGGUUGGUAAGGUAACGGCUUACCAAGGCAACGAUGCGUAGCCGACCUGAGAGGGUGAUCGGCCACACUGGAACUGAGACACGGUCCAGACUCCUACGGGAGGCAGCAGUAGGGAAUCUUCCGCAAAGGGCGAAAGCCUGACGGAGCAACGCCGCGUGAGUGAUGAAGGUCUUCGGAUCGUAAAACUCUGUUAUUAGGGAAGAACAAAUGUGUAAGUAACUAUGCACGUCUUGACGGUACCUAAUCAGAAAGCCACGGCUAACUACGUG
rnacentral:rRNA from 1 species